GGGAAUAUUGGACAAUGGGCGAAAGCCUGAUCCAGCAACGCCGCGUGAGUGAUGAAGGCCUUCGGGUCGUAAAGCUCUGUCAGAGGGGAAGAACCGUCGCAAGGAUAAUACCCUUGCGGCCUGACGGUACCCUCAAAGGAAGCACCGGCUAACUCCGUGCCAGCAGCCGCGGUAAUACGGAGGGUCCAAGCGUUAUCCGGAAUCAUUGGGUUUAAAGGGUCCGCAGGCGGGCAAUUAAGUCAGGGGUGAAAUGGUGCGGCUCAACCGUAGCACUGCCUUUGAUACUGGUUGUCUUGAGUUAUGGUGAAGUGGCCGGAAUAUGUAGUGUAGCGGUGAAAUGCAUAGAUAUUACAUAGAACACCGAUUGCGAAGGCAGGUCACUAACCAUGGACUGACGCUGAUGGACGAAAGCGUGGGGAGCGAA
rnacentral:rRNA from 1 species